rnacentral:lncRNA from 13 species
CUUUUGAAAAAAAGUUCAUUUAAAUUAUGUCACCUGUUAUUGAGGGUUGUUAAAAGGCAAAGCAAUAAUAGAAAAUAAAUGUCAAAAAGUGUUUGGGAAAAUAUGACACGAAAUUGAUACCUACUAUUUAAGGCUAUUUUUGAGUUGGGUGUUCUGUUUUAACUAGCUGUCACCCUUAGAGAUAGAACUUUAUGCCUUUGCUGCAGUUUCAUAAGUACAAAGCAUGUCAUAGUAGGUAAGAAUUCAAGAGACUGCUUAGAGGGCAUACUUUGCAGCUUACUAGAAAAAUGCCCUGAGUCAAGUUAAGACUGUUUUCCUAAAGGCUUGAUUCUUGAGUGACAGCGAAUUCCCUCUGGAACGGAGUGCUUAUGGCUUUUGCUGACUUGUACUUCCUCAGAACUUCACAUGGUGCCUGACACAAAAUGCAAUCAACAAAUAUGAGGAGAGAAGAUUUUCACCCCAUGACAAUUGGAUCUUCAUUUCUCACCAGUCAAGGACUAAGAUCUGUGCUCAGCUUCCAGCUACUCUGCUUUGGAGACUAUUUUCAAGGGAACAUGUAUUGCUCAAAAAGAACAAAAAAUUUUGAGAGCAAAUGAUGUAGAAUAAAGAUAGUGGGUCAAAAAAGUAUCCA